GAGUUGUGAGGGCGACCUGGCUGCAGCAUUGCUGUUACUCUGUCCAUUGCCAGGGUUGUUUGACUGACCUGGCUGGCUAGGCAAAUGUGCCCUUCCUCACUGUCUCAACCUCCCUCCAACUGAAGAGGGUGGCCUUCAACUCCCCUACUAGAACCCCAGACAAGUGUUCAAGAUUCAUCUCUAGGGUUUACCUAAGGGAAUCAUAUUUAUUUUAAAUAGUAUUCAUCUUU
rnacentral:snRNA from 1 species